UUUUGAUUGAUUUUUAGUGACAGCUACGGAGGGAUGCGAGGUUGCGUGGCAAUUUGGCAAGUGUAUCUAUGAAAAUGACAAAGAGCUCUACUUAGUUCCUUAGAACGAUCUUUCAAUAUCGAUCGAAGAAGCAAAAGAAAUUUCUACACGCCCGUACAUCGUUGUUAUAAAGAUCGAGAAACAGCUAGGAUGGUGUGCAGAAAUAUUCGAAUUCCAAACAACGUAUGUAGAAGAGUCUAAAA